rnacentral:tRNA from 1 species
GUCCGUUAGCUGAGUGGUUAGAGCUUAGGCCUUGUGACCGGAAGGUCUUGGGAUUAAAUCUCCCAGACGCAGACA